rnacentral:rRNA from 1 species
AACGAACGCUGGCGGCAGGCUUAACACAUGCAAGACGAGCGCCCCGCAAGGGGAGCGGCAGACGGGUGAGUAACACGUGGGAAUCUACCCAUCCCUACGGAACAACUCCGGGAAACUGGAGCUAAUACCGUAUACGCCCUUCGGGGGAAAGAUUUAUCGGGGAUGGAUGAGCCCGCGUUGGAUUAGCUAGUUGGUGGGGUAAAGGCCUACCAAGGCGACGAUCCAUAGCUGGUCUGAGAGGAUGAUCAGCCACAUUGGGACUGAGACACGGCCCAAACUCCUACGGGAGGCAGCAGUGGGGAAUAUUGGACAAUGGGCGCAAGCCUGAUCCAACCAUGCCGCGUGAAUGAUGAAGGCCUUAGGGUUGUAAAGUUCUUUCACCGAUGAAGAUAAUGACGGUAGUCGGAGAAGAAGCCCCGGCUAACUUCGUGCCAGCAGCCGCAGUAA